rnacentral:rRNA from 1 species
UACGUAGGGGGCGAGCGUUAUCCGGAUUUACUGGGUGUAAAGGGAGCGUAGACGGCUUUGCAAGCCAGAUGUGAAAGCCCGGGGCUCAACCCCGGGACUGCAUUUGGAACUGUGUGGCUAGAGUGUCGGAGAGGCAGGCGGAAUUCCUAGUGUAGCGGUGAAAUGCGUAGAUAUUAGGAGGAACACCAGUGGCGAAGGCGGCCUGCUGGACGAUGACUGACGUUGAGGCUCGAAAGCGUGGGGAGCAAACAGG